ensembl:snoRNA SNORD57 small nucleolar RNA, C/D box 57
UGUGAAUGAUGACAAGCCUUUCCCUGACUUCCCUGAGGGUAAACACUGAUUUAAUGAGCCUGACGC